GACGUAGGGCGCGAGCGUUUGUCCGGAUUUAUUGGGCGUAAAGAGCUCGUAGGCGGCUUGUCGCGUCGAAUGUGAAAACUCGGGGCUCAACUCCGAGCUUGCAUUCGAUACGGGCAGACUUGAGUACUGCAGGGGAGACUGGAAUUCCUGGUGUAGCGGUGAAAUGCGCAGACAUCAGGAGGAACACCGGUGGCGAAGGCGGGUCUCUGGGCAGUAACUGACGCUGAGGAGCGAAAGCGUGGGUAGCAAACAGG
rnacentral:rRNA from 1 species